AAUCUCAUCUGUUGUGACGAUUGCAUGAUGAAGAACUUUAGUGGAACCUAGUUUUUCUAUUGGCAAAUGGAAUUGAUAAGGGAAUUCAUUGAUAAUCUCCAGGAUGCUAGCACGUUCGACUUCGUUGAGAUCAUUCAGUUCUAAAAGUUCAGCUAUUUGAACCAACCUAUUCUUUAAUUGGGACGGAUAUGAGUGUUUUCGUACGAGGAAACAAUUUAAAAGAGGAUGAUGAGAGAACAAAAAAUUCAUCAUCAAUCUGUAGACUAUUUGGCAUACUAUUUCUAAAUCUUAAUACCGCAUCUUGAUUUUCUAAAAAUGGCAUCCCCAAAAUUCCUGCCUCGGCGAUGGGAAAAACAUCCUGAACAACUUGGAAUUUAACGUUAAUGUCACGAACUUUAAUGCUAACCUCUCCGCAGAUUCAAUUGUGAGCCCGUAUCAAUGAGGAAGUCAGCAGAUCCUCCAUGGAAACAGCUGUGAAUUAAUUUUAUCACCGGAGAAUGCCCAAUGUUUUUUAUUUCGACCUGGGAGCAGGCCCGACGGGUUUGAAGGGAGCAAUCCACGGUUCGUUCCGCGCAACUCCCCGACGUGGAACGCCCUUUGAGUUUAAAUGUCCCUGAUCCCUGAUUUUAUAAGAAGAAACACCUUGAGGCUGAGGAUUUCGUCGUGUUUCCUGAAUUUGAGGACAAUGACUUUGCAGAUGUCCCACUUUAUUACACCGAAAACAUCGACGGUCAUCAAAAUCUAUUUUACGGACAUUCGCGUUCCCGACAAGAGGCUGUGAAGAUGGAGACAAUCUUGAUCCUUCGACCGUUACUGAUUCUAAUCUACGUGCAAUGUCGAUAACAGCUUCAAGAUCUGUCAGAGAACAAGAUUUUCCAUCAAACUGAGGUAUCAAAUCCUUCAUUAAAGAGAGACGAAGAUAUGACGCUGGAAGCAUACUAGAUGACUCUAUAGAGGUUGGAGUAUUUUUAGAAACAGCAGCAGCAAACGUAGUCGAGGACAAAGAUCGGUAGAAGAUGCCCCGGGAGAUGAAGAAGAUUCUGCAUUUGAUGAAUCUAUGUUUAACUCCUCUACCAAAAAUGUAUUUUCCCGCAGGCCGAUUUUGCGACUCCUUUUGGCGCGCAUGCACUUUAACUUAUACGGCGGCAUUUUGUCAAAUUAUUUCUAACGGUUUCACUUAACGAGUUUUCUAUUUUCAAACACCAAACUCCGUCCGUCGGUAAUCCGUUAUCUCGGUUGGCCUUGAAUCACGGGGAGAUCCUCUGGUUCUGCGAUUUGAUGAUGAUCUCUGUUUCCAAGUCGAAGAGAGGUCCAAUGAUGAUGUGAACGAGGUGCAUGUGAUUCCGGUGGAUGGCUUGCACGGCAGCCGAAAUCACCUGUCUCCGGUAUUCACCCUACGCUCUUGAGGAAACCGUGCCAAAACUCAAGAGGGAGAAGUUGCACUAAUGUUAACAAUGUUCACUUAUAUUAUAAAAGCUCAAUGAAGCAGUUCGUAAAACGUUCAGUUAUUUAUUUAACACACGCCCGCGAGCCGGCAAAAUUAUUAAAGCGUACACAAGUCUAACACAAUCACUUUGUCUUGUUUUGCGUUAUUUACAGUUAUUACACUGAAUACACAUUUUUUUAAAUUAUGCCGUUUUAAAUUUAUCACCUUUAAAAGUUUAUCCCUUUUUGAAUAAUCCCUUUUUUUAAACAUCCCACCGCUGUCACCAAUUUGUUGCGCGUGGAUUUCAGGUGUCUAGGGAUUU